rnacentral:rRNA from 1 species
GUUUGACCUCGAAUCAGGUAGGGAUACCCGCUGAACUUAAGCAUAUCAAUAAGCGGAGGA